GUCUACGGCCAUAUCACCCUGAACACAACCCAAUCUCGUCUAAUCUCGGAAGCUAAGCAGGGUCAGGCCUGGUUAGCACUUGGAUGGGAGACCACCUAGGAAUAUUGAGUGCUGCAGGCA
ensembl:rRNA 5S_rRNA 5S ribosomal RNA